UCGCACAUCUUGUUGUCUGAUUAUGGAUUUUUCGCGAAACCAUUUGCUCAUAUGGCAAGAUGUGUAUCCG
rnacentral:antisense_RNA from 1 species